ensembl:lncRNA
GUUGUUAUAACCCCCUAGUCACUGUUGUUUUAACUCCCUAGUCACUGUUGUUAUAACCCACUAGUCACUAGCUCUGUUGUAGUAGUACAGUAGUCUAGGAAAUCCCAGACCUAGUGUAUGUCGGAACUUUGUCAAUGUAGGAGGCAACCGGUCUGCCUAGGGUGACUAGUAGUGUCGUUAUCUGGUUAUAGGCUAUUUACAAAAUCCCCCCUCAUCCCUUCCCUCCUCCAUUCAACUUCUUGCUCCUUUCCCUGACAGCACCCCGCUAUAGAGAUAGAUAGACGACUCAUCUUGGUGGAAUCCCUCAAUAGAAAUGCCAAUGUUAAAAAAGGUCAUAUCCAUCUAGUCCUCUAUCUCUACGUGCGCCCUCUUAUUCUCCUUGUCCUCUCCGUGGGUGAUGAUGUAACACAGGUUCUUGUAGUCAAGGUUACCGGCCACAUCCAGGUGAAAGUUUUGGAGCAUCUGGUUGACCUGCAAAGAGGAGUACGAACACACACAUCUCUACUCUGUUAGUCCCAAUACUACCUCUAGGGGGAGCUGUCUUCCAAGGAGUUUUUCCUAGCCACUGUGCUUCUGCCUCUGCAUUGCUGGCUCUUUGGGGUUUUAUGCUGAAUUUUGAGCUGAAUUUGAGCUGUCCAUGAACAGCUAAACAUUAAGUUAACUGAGCUGUCUUCUGGGUCAUAAACAUUAGGUUAACUGAGCUGUCUACUGGGUCAUAAACAGCUAAACAUUAGGUUAACUGAGCUGUCUACUGGGUUAUAAACAUUAGGUUAACUGAGCUGUCUGCUUUGUUAUAAACAGCUAAACAUUAGGUUAACUGAGCUGUUUGCUCGGUUAUAAACAUUAGGUUAACUGAGCUGUCUGCUUUGUUAUAAACAGCUAAACAUUAGAUUAACUGAGCUGUCUGCUCGGUUAUAAACAUUAGGUUAACUGAGCUGUCUACUGGGUCAUUAACAGCUAAACAUUAGGUUAACUGAGCUGUCUACUGGGUUAUAAACAUUAGGUUAACUGAGCUGUCUACUGGGUCAUAAACAGCUAAACAUUAGGUUAACUGAGCUGUCUACUGGGUUAUAAACUUUAGGUUAACUGAGCUGUCUAGUGGGUUAUAAACAGCUAAACAUUAGGUUAACUGAGCUGUCUACUGGGUCAUAAACAGCUAAACAUUAGGUUAACUGAGCUGUCUACUGGGUCAUAAACAGCUAAACAUUAGGUUAACUGAGCUGUCUACUGGGUCAUAAACAGCUAAACAUUAGGUUAACUGAGCUGUCUACUGGGUCAUAAACAGCUAAACAUUAGGUUAACCGUACAAAGACAUACUGCUACUUGGUGAAUUCAUUUUUUUUUUAUAGUUAAACAUUUUAAAAAGUUAUCAGUUUUAGAUAAAACUAUACAAAAUAUAUUCAUGUCACCAAAUAAUUUAUUAAAACACACUGUUUUGUAAUGAAGGUCUACAUUAGCCUCAACAGCACUCUGUAGGGUAGCACCAUGCUGUAGCCGGAGGACAGCUAGCUUCUGUCCUCCUCUAUGUAGAUUGACUUUAAUACAAAACCUAGGAGGCUCGUGGUUCUCACCCCCUUCCAUAGACCUACAAAGUAAAUAUGACAACUUCCGAAGGACGCCCUCCAACCUAUCAGAGCUCUUGCGGAUUGAACUGACAUGUUGUCCGCCCAAUCAAAGGAUCAGAGAAUGAAUAUAUUACUGAAAGCAUAAGCUACAGCUAGCUAGCACUGCAGGAAAUAUAAUGUGUUGAGUAAUUGACUCAAAGAUAGAGAAAGACAAUAGUUGAACAGUUUAAUUUCUUCAAAAAUGAUGGAGAAGCAAGAGAGAGAGAGAGUUAGCUAUAUUUGAUUGUAUUUUUUAAAACUUUCACUUUCAUUUAGCUAGCAAAUGCAGCUAGCUAGUUUAGCCUACUCCAACACUCGGCUAAAACAGAGGGGGAUGUUAUGUUAGCUAGCUGGCUAUGGCUACCCAACAGAGGGGGAUGUUAUGUUAGCUAGCUGACUAUGGCUACCCAACAGAGGGGGAUGUUAUGUUAGCUAGCUGGCUGGCUAUGGCUACCCAACAGAGGGGGAUGUUAUGUUAGCUAGCUGGCUAUGGCUACCCAACAGAGGGGGAUGUUAUGUUAGCUAGCUGGCUGGCUAUGGCUACCCAACAGAGGGGGAUGUUAUGUUAGCUAGCUGGCUAUGGCUACCCAACAGAGGGGGAUGUUAUGUUAGCUAGCUGGCUAAGGCUAUCCAACACUGGAACACUUCCAAGUCAAGGUAAGCUUUUGGUUUUAUUCAUUUAUUGCCACCAGGGCCCUAUGGUGUAUCUGCUAAACUGCUUUCUGACUGUACACUGUACUGCAUGAUUGUAGUGGAUUUACUAACACGUUAGUUCUAGUGGCUAUGUUGACAAUAAUCACAUUUUAUUAGUCACAUACACAUUAUUAGCAUAUAUUCUAGAGAAAAUGUGUGGGCAGAACUGAAAAAGAGUGUGCGAGCAAGGAGGCCUACAAACCUGACUCAGCUACACCAGCUCUGCCAGGAGGAAUUGACCAAAAUUCACCCAACUUAUAGUGGGAAACUUGUGGAAGGCUACCCAAAACGUUUGACCCAAGUUAAACAAUUUAAAGGCAAUGCUACCAAAUACUAAUUGAGUUUAUGUAAACUUUUGACCCACUGGGAAUGUGAUGAAAGAAAUAAAAGCUGAAAUAAAUCACUCUACUAUUAUUCUGACAUUUCACAUUCUUAAAAUAAAGUUGUGAUCCUAACUCACCUAAGACAGGGAAUUUUUACUAGGAUUAAAUGUCAGGAAUUGUGAAAAACUGAGUUUAAAUGUAUUUGGCUAAGGUGUGUGUAAACUUCCAACUUGUGCGUGCCAACAACUGUAUCCCAGUCCGCGAUCAAAACAAUCUUGAAGCAUGGAUUCUGAUUGGCCAGACCAGCAUUGAACAGACGGUUAUUUCCUGUUUGAGUUUCUGCCUAUAGGAAGGGAGCAAAAUGGAGGUGUGAUCUGAUUUGCCAAAGGAAUGACGGUGGAGGGCCUUGUAUGCAUCCCGGAAGGGGGAGUAGCAGUGGUCGACCGUUCCGUUUUAGCAGCGUGUGUACUACAAUCAAUGUGUUGGUAGAACUUUGGUAGCGUUUUCCUCAAACUUGCUUUGUUAAAAUCCCCAGUUAUAAUAAAUGCAGUCUCGGGAUAUGUGGUUUCCAGUUUGCACAGUAUAGUUCCUUGGGGGCUGUUGUGGUAUCAGCUUGAGGGGGAACAUACACGGCCGUGACUGUAAACAAAGAGAAUUCUCUUAGGAGGUAAUACGGUCGGCAUUUGAUUGUGAGGUAUUCUAAGUCGGGUGAACAAAAGCAGUAGGGUAAAGUACUUAAGUAAAAAAUACUUUUUAAAGUACUACUUAAUUUGUUUUUUGGAGUAUCUGUAUUUAACUUUACUAUUUAUAUUUUUUACUACUUUUACUUUUACUCCACUACAUUCCUAAAGAAAAUAUUGUACUUUUUACUUAAUGUUUUCCCUGACACCCAAAAAUAUUUAUUACAUUUUGAAUGGUUAGCAGGACAGAAAAAUUGUCUAAUUCACACAAGAGAACAUCCCUGGUAAUCCCUACUGCCUCUGAUCUGGUGGACUCACCAAGUGUUGGAGCAUGCCCCUGGCUUUCUGUAAAUAAAAGAAAAAAUAAAAUUUUGCCACCUGGUUUGCUUCAUAUAAGCAAUUUGAAAAGAUGAAUACUUUACCUUUAACUUUU